CCUCUUUUAAAUAUAUGUACUGUCUCUCAUUCUCUUCUCUCUCUUUCUCCACGCAUCACCGUCGCCGACCUCCGCCGCAUCUUUCCCAUGUGCCCGGAGCUCCUCACCUCCUCCUCCACCGCUUUCCGUGCCACCACCUUCCUCCUCCGUGAGGCUCGUGUGGACGCCGCCGACCUCCGCUACGUCGUCCACCGCCGCCCCGGCCUCCUCGCCUGCAGCGUGGAGCGGCAGCUCCAGCCCGCUCUCUACUUCCUCCAGGGCACAAUCGGCAUCGAGGACGUCAGCAGAUUCACCUUCCUGCUAUCGUGCUCCGUUGAAUCGAAGUUUAUUCCCCAAAUUGAUUACCUGUAGAAAUUAGGGUUUCCGUACAGGGACGCGAUCCUGAUGUUCCGGCAUCAAAUCUACAUGAAGGUGGAGGGGACUAUGAACUCACUGCUGCCGUUUAGGAAGAUGUGCAUUUUCGGGCAGGGAGGGGCAGCCACGGGCAGGGCCAGCAGAAGAGUGGUGCGAAGGGCGAGGAUUUGGUGGUGAAAGUGCCCCCGGGGACCGUUGUGAGGGAGAGUGGUGGGGAUGUGCUCUUUGAGCUGCUGCAUCCGGGGCAGAGGGCGUUGCUUCUGCCCGGAGGGAGAGGUGGGAGGGGCAAUGCCUCGUUUAAGACGGGGACGUGCCCAAGAUUGCAGAGAAUGGGGAAGAAGGGCUUGAAAUGUGGUCAUCAAGAAACCUUUUGGUUUUGUUUAGGAGUGUCAAUGGCGUUAUACAGAAUUCUACUAGGGAGACCUUGUUGCGAAUCAAUAUUCAUUGUUCAGUUGUUGUAAGGGUUCUCAAUUCAAUUGUGGAACAGAAAAAGUUUCCAGUGACUCCACAACAUGGGAAGAAGCAAAAGAAAUCCUCUAAACAUCAUGUUCCUGAUUCUAAUUCUGGAAUGCUUGACAGAGAAAGAACCAAAUCUCUCUUGAGUGCUUUUCUUUAAGUAAUGUUAAUCAAGAAAAACAUAAUUAAGAGAACUUCACUUGUUGGCCCCUUAUUUAAGCUCCUCCACUUGAUAUUUGUGAAUGAUGAGUGGAUAUCUGAAGCCACAGACCAGGAUAAAGUGCUUAUAGCUGCUCCAUCUAGUGUUGAUAGUUAACAGCCUGGCAUUGCUUGUUGUCAGCUAUACGUAACGUAGUUCCAAUUGCUACAACUUGGUUGCUUUGCUUCAUGUAGAAUAGAAUGACAUGUUAGAUGUUGGUUAAUUAAGUGAAUGACACUGUGCAGAUUGGGAUGUCUAGUGCUCUGGAAACUCUAUGCGGCCAGGCAUACGGCGCUAAGCAAUACAAAAGAGUGGAAACUCUUACUUAUGGUGCAAUCAUAUGUCUGUUUUUUUUUUGUGUAGCUCUAUCUCUUGUCUUCAUCUUGACGAAGAGAGUGCUGCUUGUGACGGGCCAAGAUCCUUCAAUUUCAGCUGUAGCAAGGAAGUUUGCAAUCCUGCUCAUCCCAAUGCUGUUCCCCUACGCAUUUCUUCAGUGCAUUGUUCGUUACCUGCAGAGCCAGAGCAUUAUUUUCCCUAUGGUUUGGAGCUCAUUAGCAUCUAUGUGCUUCUAGCUACCUCUCUGUUGGGCUUUCAUAUUCAUAUUCCAUCUCGGAAAUUCUGGAGCUGCUAUCUCCAUAGCCAUAUCCUCUUGGUUUAAUGUUGUUCUACUUGUGCUUUAUGUUAUGUAUUCGCCUGCCUGUCGAGAAACACGAGCUCCCUUGUCAUGGGAAGAUGACUGGGAUUAUUGGGUGCUUGGUUGUACAUGAAGCUUGAUGAGUUGUGAUGCUUGCUGCAGAAAAUGUAUGAGUUGAUUUUGGAGUUUGUUUAGGGGCCAAAAGUCUUUCUUUUGUUUUGUUGGAUUUUGAAAAAUGUAAAAGUGUUUUAUUAUUUAUUAAUCUUGUCGGCUAAAGACUAAAGUAUGAAGCUUAAUUGGCAUGUUCUUGGAACUGAAAUUUUGUAUUCUGAAGUAUAUAA